rnacentral:rRNA from 1 species
UACGGGGGGGCAAGCGUUGUUCGGAAUUACUGGGCGUAAAGGGCUCGUAGGCGGCCAACUAAGUCAGACGUGAAAUCCCCAGGCUCAACCUGGGAACUGCGUCUGAUACUGGAUGGCUUGAAUCCGGGAGAGGGAUGCAGAAUUCCAGGUGUAGCGGUGAAAUGCGUAGAUAUCUGGAGGAACACCGGUGGCGAAGGCGGCAUCCUGGACCGACACUGACGCUGAGGAGCGAAAGCCAGGGGAGCAAACGGG